CAUGCAGCCCGCCCUCGCAAGCCUCCACAGAAACAAGCGACGAGCACUGCCUUCACCUCCCGUCCAGCGUCAUCAAAACGACCCGAGCAGUGACUAAGUCACCUCCUAACAGCCAGGACUACGUCUGAGUUGACGAAGAAAUGGCAAGAAGCGACGUCAACUACAGCGCCCAUCAGCCGUCUGACGACUCCAGAGUAAUGGAGGGAGGACAAGUCGUUGUCCUGCAGCAAAUUGGAGGAGUCUUUGCCACAGCUUGACACUACAUCCCCAAACGGAGAAGCAGAAUUUGCGGGGUCAGGACAAGGGACAGCGACCUCCUUUCACUUUACAGCUACAAACCCUGUGGACAGCAAGAAAAGUGGAGCCGCUGGCGCCAACCAACCGCAUCCGCUGUGCCUUGCAUGACAACAAGGAGUCGAGGACGAAUUCAAGGUGUCUGAUACUGGUGUCAUGGAGGCGAUUUAAAAGAGAUUUAUCUGUAACACUCAAGUUGCCAAAGAUUAAAAACCACGCAAGACAUUACACAGUUGUUGCAGGUAUCUGCUCUUGUGGCUGCCAUUGAACGAGACUCCGCCAAAUAGAGGGAGAGUGUCGCGCGUGCAUUACUGAAGUCUGUGGGGACGUGAACACGUUAUCACUGGAACACGACGUGUAAGCUUUACAAACACACACACACACUAAACAAACACACACACACACUAAACCAAACACACACAAACAUACACUAAACAUACAUACCCCGAUCAUACGAAAUCUUGGAACGGAUGUAGCCCAUUCUCAAAAGAUUAGUGUGCAUGAAAAGGUAGGUUAUCUUUUGAAAUCUUUUUAAUCUUUAGAAAACAAUUUUCUAAUACAAUAAUUGAAGUUAUCUUUACAAAGGUAUUAAACAAAUAUCAUAUU
rnacentral:misc_RNA from 1 species